rnacentral:tRNA from 1 species
CGGGCUAUGGCGCAGUUGGUAGCGCGCUUGCAUGGGGUGCAAGAGGCCGUGGGUUCGAGUCCCACUAGCCCGACCA